GACGAACGCUGGCGGCGUGCUUAACACAUGCAAGUCGUACGGUAAGGCCCUUUCGGGGGUACACGAGUGGCGAACGGGUGAGUAAAACGUGAGUAACCUGCCCACAACUUUGGGAUAACGCUAGGAAACUGGUGCUAAUACUGGAUAUGUGCUCCUGCUGCAUGGUGGGGGUUGGAAAGCUCCGGCGGUUGUGGAUGGACUCGCGGCCUAUCAGCUUGUUGGUGGGGUAGUGGCCUACCAAGGCGGCGACGGGUAGCCGGCCUGAGAGGGUGACCGGCCACAUUGGGACUGAGAUACGGCCCAGACUCCUACGGGAGGCAGCAGUGGGGAAUAUUGCACAAUGGGCGCAAGCCUGAUGCAGCGACGCCGCGUGCGGGAUGACGGCCUUCGGGUUGUAAACCGCUUUCAGCAGGGACGAAGCUUUUUGUGACGGUACCUGCAUAAGAAGCACCGGCUAACUACGUG
rnacentral:rRNA from 1 species